UACGGAGGGGGCUAGCGUUGUUCGGAAUUACUGGGCGUAAAGCGCGCGUAGGCGGACCUGCAAGUCGGGGGUGAAAGCCCGAGGCUCAACCUCGGAACUGCCUUCGAUACUGCGGGUCUCGAGUCCGGGAGAGGUGAGUGGAAUUCCUAGUGUAGAGGUGAAAUUCGUAGAUAUUAGGAAGAACACCAGUGGCGAAGGCGCUCACUGGCCCGGUACUGACGCUGAG
rnacentral:rRNA from 1 species